rnacentral:rRNA from 1 species
AACGAACGCUGGCGGCAGGCUUAACACAUGCAAGUCGAACGCCCCGCAAGGGGAGUGGCCGCCGGGUGAGUAACGCGUGGGAAUCUACCCAUCCCUACGGAAUAACGCAUGGAAACGUGUGCUAAUACCGUAUACGCCCUACGGGGGAAGAUUUAUCGGGGAUGGAUGAGCCCGCGUUGGAUUAGCUAGUUGGUGGGGUAAAGGCCUACCAAGGCGACGAUCCAUAGCUGGUCUGAGAGGAUGAUCAGCCACAUUGGGACUGAGACACGGCCCAAACUCCUACGGGAGGCAGCAGUGGGGAAUAUUGGACAAUGGGCGCAAGCCUGAUCCAGCCAUGCCGCGUGAGUGAUGAAGGCCUUAGGGUUGUAAAGCUCUUUCACCGGAGAAGAUAAUGACGGUAUCCGGAGAAGAAGCCCCGGCUAACUUCGUG